rnacentral:tRNA from 1 species
UCGGGUGCAGCGGUAACAUCGCUGGCUCUCACUCAGCAGCCCGGGGUUCGACUCCCCGUAUCCGAA